GGCAAGCCCAAGAGGCUCAGUGGUUUAGAUCACAGCGCCACCUAUCUACAGAGUAAUAAUAGGGACCAAAAACUAGAGUAACUCUUGGACACAGGCAAAAAAAAAGUUUGGAAAAAGUUGUUUUUAUAUGGAAUCAGUCAUGGGGAAUACAUUUGUGAUCCAUGCAAAAUAUGGUUAGUGCAAGACAAAACAAAUGAAACAAGGGAAGUAAUUCCUGGUAAGCAUUAACUCCAGCUAGUUAGAGAGAAUGAAGUACUGAUAUAAAGAACGGGAGAGUUCAGAAUCGUUGAUUGAAAAGGGAGAAAGAAAAUGGGAUAGUUUCAUUUCAAACUUGGCCAGACUUGGGUUAGCCUGCAGUUCAUUCAUCAAAGUAGGGUGUGAUCCCAUCCCACAUACUAAAGAUGGCAUAGGCCGUAUUUCAAUCUUCUUGGCCAGAGCUGCUUCAUCUUUACUCAUGCCAGAGUACUGUUCGUACAGCUGGGAGAGGUGGCAGGCAGGCACUUAGAGAACUUCCUUCCUUGAAAGGAGUUGAAAGGAGAAGAAACUCUCUUUGGAAGAACCUUCUUCUCCCAACACAAACAGGUCUAGCCUGUAUGUGAGUGACUUUUCGAAAUACUGAUGUAACAGUGCUCCUGACGUAGUUCUACAUCAUACUUCCUCAACCUCGGCCCUCCAGAUGUUUUUGGUCUACAACUCCCAUGAUCCCUAGCUAGCAGGACCAGUGGUCAGGGAUGGUGGGAAUUGUAGUCUCAAAACAUCUGGAGGGCCAGGGUUAAGGAAGCUUGUUCUACAUUGCCUGAGAAGGAGGAGGAUAGUUUUAUGUCGAGCCAAAACGAAGUGGAGCAGCAUUGCUCCCACUUUCUGUCAUGCAUUGGUGAGAAGAAUAGAAAAUGGCCUUUAAUGUAGCCGCUUAGGAUGGGGAGAGAAAGUAAGGACAUUCCAUUAGCUUGCCUAGACAAGCUACCACCCAACCCUUGCUUUCUUGGACUCCCAACAGAAGCCAACCAUUCUGCUUAGCAGGGAGGGACAGACCUUUCCUUUCAACCACUUUAACUUAGCAGCCUGUGCUCCUUUAAGCUUCCCACAGGCACAGUGGUGAGCCAUGGUGGGUAAAUAAUGUGAGACAAGAUCAGUCUGGCUAGGCUCUUAUGUUCUUAAGAACCCCUGAAUUUGUACACUCCCUCUUUCUCCUCCCUCUCUAGCACAGCAGUGAGGAGGAGUUUGGAAACUUUCACUUCCAGUUCAGACUAAUUGGCCGAGUCCUUUGAGUAUUUAUCUUAAUUGUGGAAGCAAGACAACUUCAAGCCACGGUGCAGGAUUCCUUUCCUGCCACACCCCCCAAAAAUGGUAUUCUCACCAUCGAUCACAAAUGGUACGGUCUGCCAGCUCCAGGCAAAAAUCAGAUCCUGUGAUGCAGACGAAAGGAUCUUUCCCCUCAACAACAACACACACAAGCCUCACAAACCGGAGCUGCUCAUUUCCAAGCAACAGGGGAGAAAACUAUGCCAAAACAUCUGUUGAUGUUCCCAUGAUGACCGAGAGGGUUAAACAGCCCUGUGAUUGAUUUGAGUUGGCUUUCACAGGAGUGAGUCAUUGGGUGGUUUCUUGGCCCUUUACCUCUUGCACAAUUCAAUCUAUAACUCCAGUUAAACUUUAGUUUGCAAAUAAGGGUCGUAAACAUUUUUUACUUUCUGUAUUCUAUAUACUUUCUGUUUCCAUUGUAUACCAAUAUUCCUGUGAGUGUAUAUAAUUAUGUAUUGCCCUUCGUGAGUGUUAGCUGCAAUCUACCCUGAUUACUUUAGCUUUUAAACAUUAGUUCAAGCUUGAAUAGUUUGUGGUUUCAGCACACUAUUAAAAGGCUCACAUUAAUCAUAA